AUUGAACGCUGGCGACAUGCCUUACACAUGCAAGUCGAACGGCAGCACGGGUGCUUGCUCCUGGUGGCGAGUGGCGAACGGGUGAGUAAUACAUCGGAACAUGUCCUGUCGUGGGGGAUAGCCCGGCGAAAGCCGGAUUAAUACUGCAUACGAUCUCCGGAUGAAAGCGAGGGCCCUUCGGCCUUCGCGCUAUCGGGUUGGACGAUGCCUGAUUAGCUAGUUGGUGGGGUAAAGGCCUACCAAGGCGACGAUCAGUAGCUGGUCUGAGAGGACGACCAGCCACACUGGGACUGAGACACGGCCCAGACUCCUACGGGAGGCAGCAGUGGGGAAUUUUGGACAAUGGGCGAAAGCCUGAUCCAGCAAUGCCGCGUGUGUGAAGAAGGCCUUCGGGUUGUAAAGCACUUUUGUCCGGAAAGAAAUCCUUGGCGCUAAUACGGUCGUGGGAUGACGGUACCGGAAGAAUAAGCACCGGCUAACUACGUG
rnacentral:rRNA from 1 species